GCUUGUUUUUAAUUACUGAAUUUUCAUCUCUUGUUCAUCAUAAGCAAGAAAUGAAAAGCUUGAGCUUGAAGAAGAGCAUCGCCGUGGCAAUCAACAAAUCCACAAGAUGUUGAAUGAUGUUAGGAUGCAUGAAGAACAAGUUCAUGAUAUUCAGGAGAAUCAUACACAGGUCUUUCAUGGUUUUUUCUUCAACGUGACUUGUCAGUAUUUACUUUUUGGCUGCUGAUGAGAAAUGAAAAGCUUGAGCUUGAAGAAGAGCAUCGCUGUGGCACUCAGCAAAUACACAAGAUGUUGAAUGAUGUUAGGAUGCAUGAAGAACAAGUUCAUGAUAUUCAGGAGAAUCAUACACAGUUUGAAGGAUAAGGAAAACACUUUAUCAGAACAUCUCUCAGUAGAAAUGGAUGCAAUGAAGAAGAUUAAUGAAGAUGGUAGAGCUGAAAGGCAAGUUCUUGUUGAAGAUUACAACAGGGGAAGGGUAUUGCAUUUGAUCGAAGAAUACAGAAUGUGUUGGUGAUUUUCACCUUAGAUGAGUUUGAAAUGGACCAAUUUUUAAGGGAGUGAGAAUUGAAUUUGGUUUGAAAUAAAUUGAAGUUUCUGUUUCAGAAUAGGGUCCAUUACGAAAAUGUCAUGAAAGAAAAGGUUCUUCCUCAAAUCAAGGAGAGCUACAGAAAGGCUUCUGUCAUUUGUUUUGAGAGUGAAAUUGAUGCAUAGAAGACUUGGAUGGAAGUACAACCGAGCAACUAGAUGCCAAACUUAAGAGACUGGAUCAAAGACUUAUGCAUGAGGACAAUCGAUAUUCAGAAUCAAUUGGUGAUCUUAGGAUGUUGUAUCCGGAGAAAGAGCGUAGAAUUUUAAGAAAACUGCAUACUUAUAAAGCCUUUCGAGAAAGAUUAGAUGUUAUAUGGCAUUUUGCUUCAUCAUAAUGUCAUUUCUCCUAAUUUUGAAUUCUGAAAGAAAUGAUUGGCGGCUUACCUCAAGGCUUUUUUAAGGUUUCUGGAAGUUUAUUAGCUUUUUCCUUUUUCUGCUUCGGUUGUUAUAUUGCAGGCUUGCCAAUAUCCUCUUGAUUUGCAUAGGAAAAAAUUUCAACAUGAUGCAGCGCUUCUAAGAUGCGAGUUGACUUGGCAAAUAUGUAUCAUGCUUCUGUCAAUCAUUAAUUGUCUUUCAUUAUGAUUAUUUAUUUAUUUAUUAUUUCUUGUUUGGUACAAUUAGAUUUAAUGGCCAUUUUGGGAAGGAAAGUGUCAACGGACACAUUAAUGUUAAUUAUGAUGAAAAGACCCUACAUUAAUGUUAAUUAUGAUGAAACUAUAUAAAUUCUACUUGUGCUUUUGGGCGUACUUACAAUUCGCUACUAAUGCAUUUCGCCUGGUCAGUGGUCACUCUGCCCUUUUAAAGUCCUAAGCUGUCUAUUCAACAUUUAACAAUGGGUUUCCUGAUUCCAUUAGGUUUAACAGGUUAAAAUGCCUCAAGAUGCAUCAAGCAACACUGUUCGUGAUACAAAAGGACUUUCAGAUUAAGUACCAUGAAACAAAGCAGGGUGAGAUUGAUCAUCAAAUUCGUGAGCUUUCGUCUGCAUCAAGCCAACAGGGUUACAGCUUUUGGUGGUGAUGGAGAGUGCUAUGUCUUCGAUGUGAAAUUAAGAGGCAUCACUGUGCAUUUACCGUGCCUCCUAUUGGUCUAAUUGGUGCUCAUGUGUUUUGUGGUUAUUGUGCUGCAGACAUUAGUCAAUGGUGAUACAUGGCUUCUGCUGUUGAACAAGCUAUUGGGAAGAUGCCAAAUACAUUCAUUGUGACAUUAUUAUAGAAUGCAUGAUUAUUGACUCUACGAGCUCCACUGUUUUGAAAGAUUGUCAAGGUAGAAAAAUUGCCAGCCAGAAGGAGGACCUCCGUGAGCUGUUUGAACAUUUCAAUAUUGCCGUGCUAAAGUGGUUAUGGAAUUUGCUCUAUAUCGUCAUAUAUCUGAGGCAUUUGACAGGUAGAAAAAUUGCCAGCCAGAAGGAGGACCUCCGUGAGAUGGUUGAACAUUUCAAUUUUUUCUAAUUCGUGGCUGUUUGGAUAAAAGUGGGUUUGUAAUUGACCUGAUGGCAAUAUUUGAUGGUGCAGAACACCGUACUGUGACAAUAUUUGAUGGGUUUUUUCUUCCAAGAGUCUUCUCUAUGUUUAACAGUUAUUGAGAACUAUUUUGCUUUGAUUUUACACUUGCAUGCAAAACUAUACUUUCUUGUGUGCUUUGAUUUUACAGGUUCAAUUUGUGUGAAGAGGAGUUGGUUUAGAUGUUAAAAGGUUUUAGAGGAUAAGUGAUCAUGGGAAAUAAAAGUCCAGCUUUAUAACAUUCCAAGAUUAUGGGACAUUCUCAGAUCAAGUACCAUGAAACAAAGCAGCGUGAGAUUGAUCAUCAAAUUCGUGAGCUUCGUCUACAUCAAGCCAACAGGCUUUUGGUAGGGGUGGAGUGCUACAUCUUCUACGUGAAAUUGAGAGGCAUCCGACUGCGUUUACCGUACCACCUAUAGGUCCAAUUGGUGCUCAUGUGUUUUGUGGUUAUUAUGCUCUGCAUACACUAGUCAAUGGUGAUACAUGGGUUCCUACUGUUGACCAAGCUAUUGGGAAGUUGCUAAAUGCAUUCAUUGUGAAAAUUCUCAGGAUGCUGGCGCUCUUAGAAAAUGCGAAAAGGAG